rnacentral:rRNA from 1 species
UACAGAGGGGGGCAAGCGUUAUUCGGAAUUAUUGGGCGUAAAGGGCGCGUAGGCGGCUUUGCAAGUGGCGGGUGAAAUCCCUCGGCUUAACCGAGGAACUGCCUGCCAGACUGUGAGGCUUGAGACCGGGAGAGGUGAGUGGAAUUCCUGGUGUAGCGGUGGAAUGCGCAGAUAUCAGGAGGAACACCGGUGGCGAAGGCGGGUCUCUGGGCCGAUACUGACGUGAGGAGCGAAAGCGUGGGGAGCGAACAGG